UACGUAGGGACCGAGCGUUGUCCGGAAUCAUUGGGCGUAAAGAGCGUGUAGGCGGCUAUUUAAGUCCUGCGUGAAAUCCUGCGGCUCAACCGCAGACGGUCGUGGGAAACUGGAUGGCUAGAGUGCGGGAGAGGAGAGUGGAAUUCCGGGGUGUAGUGGGUGAAAAUGCGUAGAGAUCCGGAGGAACACCAGUGGCGAAGGCGACACGCUGGGCCCGUACC
rnacentral:rRNA from 1 species